UAAAGGUCCAAACUUAAAUGCAUGUACAACUCCUGUUUAUAAUUGAUAAUCAGCAGAUGUAUAGUUACCAUGGCAGCAGACAAGAUAUGGAUGAUAUUAGGCAAAUAAUAGCUUCAUCUCAUGCCCAAACUAGGAACUUCUAGUCCUAGACUCCUUCAGGGUAGUCAUCUUCUCACUCUGAUUAACUGGGAAGGCAUCAAGGAG
rnacentral:lncRNA from 1 species